AUAUAGGUCAAGCUACAAAGGGCGCAUGGUGAAUGCCUUGGCAUCAGGAGCCGAUGAAGGACGUGAUAAGCUGCGAUAAGCUUCGGGUAGGCGCACAUAGCCUGAGAUCCGAAGAUCUCCGAAUGAGGAAACUCACAUGGGAAACCCCAUGUAUCAUUAAGUGAAUACAUAGCUUAAUGAAGGUAACCCAGGGAACUGAAACAUCUAAGUACCUGGAGGAAGAGAAAGAAAAAUCGAUUUUCUUAGUAGCGGCGAGCGAAAGGGAAAGAGCCCAAACCGGAAACUUGUUUCCGGGGUUGUGGACAUAACAUAAAAGUGGAGGCUAUUGUAACUGAAGAGAACUGGAAAGUUCCACCGUAGAAGGUAAUAGUCCUGUAAGUGAAACGAGAAGACCACGAGUUAUGAUCCAGAGUACCACGAGACACGUGAAACCUUGUGGGAAGCAGGGAGGACCACCUCCCAAGGCUAAAUACUACCUGAUGACCGAUAGUGAAGCAGUACCGUGAGGGAAAGGUGAAAAGAACCCCGGGAGGGGAGUGAAAUAGAACCUGAAACCGUGUGCCUACAACCGCUCAGAGCCCCUUAUGAGGGUGAUGAGGUGCUUUUUGUAGAACGAGCCAACGAGUUACGGUAUGUAGCAAGGUUAAGUACUUAAGGUACGGAGCCGAAGGGAAACCGAGUCUGAAUAGGGCGACUAGUUGCAUGCCGUAGACCCGAAACCGGGUGACCUAUCCAUGGCCAGGUUGAAGCGAGGGUAAAACCUCGUGGAGGACCGAACCACGUUGCUGUUGAAAAAGCAUGGGAUGAGCUGUGGAUAGCGGAGAAAUUCCAAUCGAACCCGGAGAUAGCUGGUUCUCUCCGAAAUAGCUUUAGGGCUAGCGUCGAGUAUGAGUAGUGGAGGUAGAGCACUGAAUGGGCUAGGGGGCAUAGCGCUUACCGAACCUUAUCAAACUCCGAAUGCCACAUACUUUGAGCUCGGCAGUCAGACUACGAAUGAUAAGAUCCGUGGUCAAAAGGGAAACAGCCCAGAUCGUCAGCUAAGGUCCCAAAGUGUAAGUUAAGUGGGAAAGGAUGUGAGAUUUCUAAGACAACUAGGAUGUUGGCUUAGAAGCAGCCAUUCAUUAAAAGAGUGCGUAAUAGCUCACUAGUCGAGAGAUCUUGCGCCGAAAAUGUAACGGGGCUAAACUUACC
rnacentral:rRNA from 1 species